CAAUUUACAUUAACAGUACCCUUUAAAACCAACAUUUUUAGUGUAGUAAUGUUGGCAUUCACAUUUUUUAUAAUAUAGAAGUGUAUAAGAAAUAUAGUCUAAAACAUCGCAUAGUAUAUACUGUACACUACAUUUGUAAUGGCGAGUUGUGAGAAUUUCACAUAAGAAAAUAGUGUUAUAAUUAAAAUACAAAUGGCUUUAUUCAUUUUUUCUAGCAAACUCAACACAUUUAG